rnacentral:rRNA from 1 species
UGUGUAGGUGGUUUUAUUAGUCUUCCGUUAAAGACUCGGGCUCAACCCGAGGAAUGCGGAGGAAACGGUAAGACUAGAGUGUGAGAGAGGUGAACGGAACUCAUGGUGUAGGAGUGAAAUCCGUUGAUAUCAUGGGGAACACCAAAGGCGAAGGCAGUUCACUGGCUCAUUACUGACACUGAGACACGAAAGCGUGGGUAGCGAACG